rnacentral:lncRNA from 1 species
AUGGCUGAUGCUUGGGUCUACUUGAGGGGAUCUGUGCUCAGGGAGAGCAUCCCCAUGUCACUAAGGAGACAGCCAUUGUGGAGGUGUGGAGAGGCAACUCCAAGGACUUUCCACAGUCAGUUUUUGUCCCUCCCAGUCUUGCCUCUGUCCUCAGGUCAGAAGCAUGCCAAUGGCAUCAGGAUUAGGACUGUCUCCCCAGUGGGGGGAAAUGAAGUAAGAACAAAGGUGAGAAGGACGCAACUGCACACAGCCAGUCCAGGAGCAGAGGUGUUUGAGAUUGCCACCUUCUCUACCUCAAAAGUCUCAAGGAAGUGGAAAACUUUUGCUCUUCUCACAGCAUCUUAUUCUCUGGCCUCAAAUGUGCUGCAGCAUCUGCAAAGUCUUCCUUGCAGGGUUAGAAAUAAGAACUCUAUGCCCUUGAAAGGAAGGAAACUUCCUCAAAGCCCACGUGAAUUUCAGUUUGGACCCUGCAGCCUCUGCCUGGUGUUGAGAUAAUGGACUUAGAAAGUUUGAACAUGAAGUUAUGAGUGUUACAUGGGCUCUCUGCAGAAGUUCUGGGGGCUGCCUGUGAUGGCACAGUUGGGCUGAUGGUAACUGAAGCACAGACUUUGUGGGUGAAGGAACGUGAAAAACAGCAUCCAUAAAAUGAGGCUAUUUUACAGUGUUGUUUUUUUUUCUUCCUUCCCCUCAAGGAUCAGAAUCUGGUUUAAGGGAAGCCUAUGGUAAAAUCAUAGAAUUAUAGAACCAUAGAAUGGCUUAGGUUGGAAGAAAUCCAGUCCCAACCCUCUGCUGUGGGCUGGUUGCCCCCCACCAGCUCAGGCUGCGUAGGGCCCCGUUCAGGGCCUUGGGCACCUCCAGGGAUGGGGCACCCACAGCUCUCUGGGCAAAAAUAGAGCUUCUCAGACAAGUACUCCAAAACCAGGCAAUGCCUAUCUGAUGGCAACGUCUGCCCCAGUGUCUUGGUUACAUUCCAAGCAGUAUUUUGUAUGUGAGUGCAUAUGUACCUCUUGCCCACUUGCUUGCAACAUCUAUCUUUAGCCUGUUACAACUUUGGUGCACGUGUUAAUGAAAUCAAAAGGUAUGAAGAAAUAAAGCAAGAUGUAUAAGGAGCCUCA